rnacentral:tmRNA from 1 species
GGGGGCGACCUGGCUUCGACGGGGGUCGCGAAACCUCAGGUGCAUGCCGAGGCGCGGAGGACCUCGUAAAUCCAGCCGCAAAAUCUUAGUUGCCAACGACGACAACUACGCACUCGCCGCUUAAUACCCGGUAGGGUGCCGUCUGACCGCAGCCGUGUCUGUGCGUGCGGAUUCCAGGCGUCAUACCUCACAGAAUCGCGCCGAGGCUCGCCUGGGGCCGGAGCGUUAAAACCUUACCGGGCUCGCCGCGCGUCUUCCCUGUCCGUCGGGUAGCGCGCGGUUAAAACAAUAGGCGGAAUAAGCAUGUAGAGCUUGGGACGUAGGGCUUUCGGACGCGGGUUCGAUUCCCGCCGCCUCCACCA